rnacentral:rRNA from 1 species
AUGAUGGCAAAGUGUGCACAGUUGUCCCAACAGACGCAAACACAUCAGAUGAAUAAGAAAAGGACUGGCAAAGAAAAUAGUAAUCCAAACUUGCAAAAUACUCUUUUACAGACCGCUAGUACUACUGGGACUCUAGGUACAAGGCACAAUGUAAUUGCUCCCAAUACGCUCAUACAAGCUGCAACAAUUCGAAUGUUUCGAGCAAUGCACAUAAAGUAG